GCGAGGAUGGCGGAACUGGUAGACGCGCUGGAUUUAGGAUCCAGUGGGAAACCGUGCGGGUUCAAUUCCCGCUCUUCGCA
rnacentral:tRNA from 1 species